CCGCACUGGUGGCGACAUCAUGUAUUCGCCGGAGAUGGCAAGUAAACUAGUGGUCCUGUGCGCUAUACUACACAACAUCGCGGUAAGGAGUAGCGUAGAGCUUCCUCAGACAGAGGAAUUGCCUGAUGAGGAGCCAGGGGUUGUCCGACACUUCGGUGGGGGGAGUGUUACACGGAGGGGGAGCCAAGUCAGGGCAAGCAUUGUUGCAGAAUAUUUCAGCUGAAUGAUCACACAAACUGUGGACGACCACAACGGCAAAGACAUCCAGUGAGCCCACAUCAGGCAGCUUCUCAGCCCCCUUCCCCUUCUCACUCCCCCUCCACUUCCC